rnacentral:tRNA from 1 species
UUUAUCUUGGUGUAAGGAGCACGUAAAUUUUUGGUGUUUAAGGUCAAGUGAGAUAACU